AGUGAACGCUGGCGGUAGGCCUAACACAUGCAAGUCGAACGGCAGCACAGGAGAGCUUGCUCUCUGGGUGGCGAGUGGCGGACGGGUGAGGAAUACAUCGGAAUCUACUCUGUCGUGGGGGAUAACGUAGGGAAACUUACGCUAAUACCGCAUACGACCUACGGGUGAAAGCAGGGGACCUUUGGGCCUUGCGCGAUUGAAUGAGCCGAUGUCGGAUUAGCUAGUUGGCGGGGUAAAGGACAACCAAGGCGACGAUCCGUAGAUGGUCUGAGAGGAUGAUCAGCCACACUGGAACUGAGACACGGUCCAGACUCCUACGGGAGGCAGCAGUGGGGAAUAUUGGACAAUGGGCGCAAGCCUGAUCCAGCCAUACCGCGUGGGUGAAGAAGGCCUUCGGGUUGUAAAGCCCUUUUGUUGGGAAAGAAAUCCAGCUGGCUAAUACCCGGUUGGAUGACGGUACCCAAAGAAUAAGCACCGGCUAACUUCGUGCCAGCCGCCGCCGUAA
rnacentral:rRNA from 1 species